rnacentral:rRNA from 1 species
GAUUUCUGGUUUGACGCGCCUGGCCCGGUGGGGUUACCUGCUGAGUGCCGGUGCGCGUCUACCAUCCUUCUAGAAAACAGCCUUGCCCUUCACUGGGUUGAGGUUGCGAUCUAGAUCUUUUACUUUGAAAAAAUUAGAGUGUUUAAAGCAGGCUUUUGCUAUGAAUACAUUAGCAUGGAAUAAUAAUCUAGGACUUCGGUUCUAUUUUGUUGGUUUCUAUAACUGAAGUAAUGAUUGAUAGGGAUAGUUGGGGGUGCUAGUAUUGGCCGGCCAGAGGUGAAAUUCUUGGAUUCGGUCAAGACUAACUUAUGCGAAAGCAUU